rnacentral:rRNA from 1 species
GACGAACGCUGGCGGCGUGCUUAACACAUGCAAGUCGAGCGAUGAAGCUCCUUCGGGAGUGGAUUAGCGGCGGACGGGUGAGUAACACGUGGGCAACCUGCCUCAUAGAGAGGAAUAGCCAUUCGAAAGGAUGAUUAAUACCUCAUAAUAUUGUAGCUUCGCAUGGAGCAACAAUCAAAGGAGUAAUCCGCUAUGAGAUGGGCCCGCGGCGCAUUAGCUAGUUGGUGAGGUAACGGCUCACCAAGGCGACGAUGCGUAGCCGACCUGAGAGGGUGGUCGGCCACAUUGGGACUGAGACACGGCCCAGACUCCUACGGGAGGCAGCAGUGGGGAAUAUUGCACAAUGGGGGAAACCCUGAUGCAGCAACGCCGCGUGAGUGAUGACGGCCUUCGGGUUGUAAAGCUCUGUCUUCAGGGACGAUAAUGACGGUAACCGGAGAAGAAGCCCCGGCUAACUUCGUGCCAGCCGCCGCAGUAAAAC